GGACUCCACUGCUAUCGGGGUAAGGCUAAGCCAUGCAAGUCGAAGGUCCCCGGCUCCGGGGGCCUGGCGUACGGCUGAGUAACGCGUGGCCAACCUGCCCUGCGGAGGGGGAUAACCCCGGGAAACUGGGGAUAAACCCCCAUAGGUGACCGGGUCUGGAAGGACCGGUCGCCGAAAGUCCCGGUCGGGGACGCUCCGGCCGGGAGCCGCAGGAUGGGGCUGCGUCCUAUCAGGUAGUUGGUGGGGUAACGGCCCACCAAGCCUGUGACGGGUAGGGGCCCUGAGAGGGGGAGCCCCCAGAUGGACUCUGAGACAAGAGUCCAGGCCCUACGGGGCGCAGCAGGCGCGAAAACUCCGCAAUGGGCGAAAGCCCGACGGGGUUACCCCGAGUGCCACCCUCGUGGUGGCUUUUGCCCGCUCUAAAAAGGCGGGCGAAUAAGGGGAGGGCAAGUCGGGUGUCAGCCGCCGCGGUAAUACCCGCUCCCCGAGUGGUGGAGGCUAUUACUGGGCCUAAAGCGCCCGUAGCCGGCCCGGUGUGUCCCUCGUUAAAUCCACGGGCUUAACCCGUGGGCUGCGGGGGAUACUACCGGGCUUGGGGGUGGGAGAGGCGCCCGGUAUUCCCGGGGUAGGGGUAAAAUCCUCUGAUCCCGGGAGGACCAUCAGUGGCGAAGGCGGGGCGCCAGAACACGCCCGACGGUGAGGGGCGAAAGCUGGGGGAGCAAAGGGAUUAGAUACCCCGGUAG
rnacentral:rRNA from 1 species